rnacentral:pre_miRNA from 1 species
CCCCCCACAUUUCCUUGUCAUUCUUCCAGCCAGCUUUCUUCUUGCAAGUGUUGGACGGAGAACUGAUAAGGGAAUGGGGGGGG